rnacentral:rRNA from 1 species
GAGAGAGCUGCUCUCUGGGGGCGAGGGCGGACGGGGAGUAAUACAUGGGACGUCCUAGUAGUGGGGGAUAACUACUGGAAAGAGUGGCUAAUACCGCAUACGCCCUACGGGGGAAAGCGGGGGAUCUCAAGACCUCUCACUAUUAAAGCGGCCGAUAUCGGAUUAGCUAGUUGGUGGGGUAAAGGCUCACCAAGGCAACGAUCCGUAGCUGGUUUGAGAGGACGACCAGCCACACUGGGACUGAGACACGGCCCAGACUCCUACGGGAGGCAGCAGUGGGGAAUUUUGGACAAUGGGGGCAACCCUGAUCCAGCCAUCCCGCGUGUAUGAAGAAGGCCUUCGGGUUGUAAAGUACCUUUUGGUCAGGGAAGAAAUAGCGUA